GGGCUACACUCUAUUGGCAUGCAGCUUUUUUGGUGGCUCUAAGUAGCAAUUUGAUCAAAUAUUUGAGCUGAUAUGCCAAAGGAGAGUUGCCCUA